GUCGGAGUGGCGGAAUAGGCAGACGCGCUAGGUUGAGGGCCUAGUGGGAGAUAAUCCCGUGGGGGUUCAAGUCCCCCCUCCGACA
rnacentral:tRNA from 1 species